GAUGAACGCUGGCGGCGUGCUUAACACAUGCAAGUCGAACGGAAAGGCUCCUGCUUGCUGGGGUACUCGAGUGGCGAACGGGUGAGUAACACGUGGGUGAUCUGCCCUGCACUUCGGGAUAAGCCUGGGAAACUGGGUCUAAUACCGGAUAGGACGAUGGUUUGGAUGCCAUUGUGGAAAGUUUUUCGGUGUGGGAUGAGCUCGCGGCCUAUCAGCUUGUUGGUGGGGUAAUGGCCUACCAAGGCGUCGACGGGUAGCCGGCCUGAGAGGGUGUACGGCCACAUUGGGACUGAGAUACGGCCCAGACGCCUACGGGAGGCAGCAGUGGGGAAUAUUGCACAAUGGGCGCAAGCCGGAGGCAGCGACGCCGCGUGGGGGAGGACGGCCUUCGGGUUGUAAACUCCUUUCGCUAGGGACGAAGCGCAAGUGACGGUACCUGGAGAAGAAGCACCGGCUAACUACGU
rnacentral:rRNA from 1 species